rnacentral:misc_RNA from 1 species
UUUCCGUAGGUGAACCUGCGGAAGGAUCAUUAUUGAAUAAACUUGGUUAGGUUGUUGCUGGCUCUUAGGAGCAUGUGCACACCGACUCCAUUUUUAACCACCUGUGCACCUUGCGUAGAUCUGAUACUCUCGAGGCAACUCGGUUUGAGAAUUGCUGUGCAAUAAAAGGCCAGCUCUUCUUGUAUUCAGGUCUAUGUUUCUACAUACCCCACAUGAAUGUAUUUUGAAUGUCGUCAUUGGCCUUGUGCCUUUAAAAACAAAUACAACUUUCAACAACGGAUCUCUUGGCUCUC